UUGUACAAGAAUUACUAAUGUAAUUUAACAAUUUUUUUUUUUAUUGUAAAAAUAUUACAUACCAUAAGUAAAUAUUUCAUUGUAAGUUCAAACAUAUAUUUAUUUGGUUACUUUUUUUUAAUGUAUGUAGUAUAUGUAAUAUAGAGCAAGUUUUAACGAAAUUUUAAUUAAGUUGAAAGUAAAUACGAACUAUAUUUGAAAUCUUUCUUUCACAUUAUUGUAUUUAUUAUAUUACUGAUCACGAUAUAUUAAUUGACGAGAAUCGAUUGUUCAGUUUAAAAUAUCUCAUGCAAUCGUUCGCUAAUUAUGAUGGUUCAUUGUUAUUCGCAUUGUCCACGUAAUCGAUAAUUGUUUUAGCUUUUGUUCUCGUUGAUCAUUCUGGUCUCCGGAGACGAGAGUCUCGUCGCCGAAAGAGCAGCUGACGGCAAUGACGUAUCAUCGCAAGUGACCACUAUCCUUCAGACUCAACCGAGCGCUCAGGAAGUCACAGGGGAAAAGAAACUAGCGAAGAGAAGCUACAGUUUGCUUUCCGUGCCUUACGUACGCACCUCCUACUCCUCGGUGUUACCGUGGUAUCGAUUGGGCGGAUUGAGUAGCUACGGAUUGUAUCCGGGCUACGGUUGGUAUCCGGGCUGGCCGUUGUCGUACGGUGGUUGGUAUAAAGGGUGGUAAAUUCCGAGGUUGAAGUAUGCGACUGUCGCUGGGAAAGUACGCAUCGAUUUCUUGGCACCUUUUUUUUUAACAUUCGAUAAUUUAUAAGCCCUUCGCGUUAUCGUGAUCGAUAAUGUUCGUUGAGUUAUUUGUGAAUACAUUGCAGAAAACGACGUGACGAGAGGCACAUGUCUACACUUAUUUUAAAUUUAGAUCCCAUAUAUAUAUUGCAAUUGUUAAUAAAUAUUAUGGAGAUUUUAUAUUCGUGGUGCCAAGUUAAGUUAGUUGUAAUUUGUGUUAAUUGUAACAUGAUGUAGCACUCGAUCGCUUAUACAUAUGAGAGAUGGAAGCAUUUAAACUAAUAUAAUAAAUAAUUCAUACGUA